rnacentral:rRNA from 1 species
AUUGAACGCUGGCGGCAGGCCUAACACAUGCAAGUCGAGCGGAUGAAGGGAGCUUGCUCCUGGAUUCAGCGGCGGACGGGUGAGUAAUGCCUAGGAAUCUGCCUGGUAGUGGGGGAUAACGUCCGGAAACGGGCGCUAAUACCGCAUACGUCCUGAGGGAGAAAGUGGGGGAUCUUCGGACCUCACGCUAUCAGAUGAGCCUAGGUCGGAUUAGCUAGUUGGUGGGGUAAAGGCCUACCAAGGCGACGAUCCGUAACUGGUCUGAGAGGAUGAUCAGUCACACUGGAACUGAGACACGGUCCAGACUCCUACGGGAGGCAGCAGUGGGGAAUAUUGGACCAUGGGCGAAAGCCUGAUCCAGCCAUGCCGCGUGUGUGAAGAAGGUCUUCGGAUUGCAAAGCACUUUAAGUUGGGAGGAAGGGCAGUAAGUUAAUACCUUGCUGUUUUGACGUUACCAACAGAAUAAGCACCGGCUAACUUCGUG